GAUGAACGCUGGCGGCGUGCUUAACACAUGCAAGUCGAGCGGUGAAGGCGGAGCUUGCUCUGCUGGAUCAGUGGCGAACGGGUGAGUAACACGUGAGCAAUCUGCCCCUGACUCUGGGAUAAGCGCUGGAAACGGCGUCUAAUACUGGAUACGAGCUGCGAAGGCAUCUUCAGCAGCUGGAAAGAACUUCGGUCAGGGAUGAGCUCGCGGCCUAUCAGCUUGUUGGUGAGGUAACGGCUCACCAAGGCGUCGACGGGUAGCCGGCCUGAGAGGGUGACCGGCCACACUGGGACUGAGACACGGCCCAGACUCCUACGGGAGGCAGCAGUGGGGAAUAUUGCACAAUGGGCGAAAGCCUGAUGCAGCAACGCCGCGUGAGGGACGACGGCCUUCGGGUUGUAAACCUCUUUUAACAGGGAAGAAGCGAAAGUGACGGUACCUGCAGAAAAAGCGCCGGCUAACUACGUG
rnacentral:rRNA from 1 species